GCUAUUAGGAAUGACUUCAGUCGUUAUCACAUUGGUUAUUGUAGCUUCCUUCACCUCAGCGGAUCUACAAACACAUAGCCUGUUAGCUAUACAAUUAGCCGCGACACAUUAACUCACAUUAAUUCAUUAAUCCUCAGCACCAGGAUUUUAACAAAUAUGAUGGAAUACGUACAGAGGUAUCUCACAACAGAAGUAACUAUUUCUUUCACAAAAGUCAACAAAUAUAGUUUUUUUUUUGCAGUUUUAUAGCUAAUUAAUGACCUGCAAUUCUACACAUUUUGCCAUGUUAAUAUAAUAUCUGAGCGAGUGAGCAAAUAAAAUAAAUUGGGGCCCCCUGGUCAAGGCCCCCUGGAGGUCAAGGUCCCCUGGAGGUCAAGGCCCCCUGGAGGUCAAGGCCCCCUGGAGGUCAAGGCCCCUGGAGGUCAAGGCCCCCUGGAGGUCAAGGCCCCCUGGAGGUCAAGGCCCCCUGGAGGUCAAGGCCCCCUGGAGGUCAAGGCCCCUGGAGGUCAAGGCCCCUGGAGGUCAAGGCCCCCUGGAGGUCAAGGCCCCUGGAGGUCAAGGCCCCUGGAGGUCAAGGCCCCUGGAGGUCAAGGCCCCUGGAGGUCAAGGCCCCUGGAGGUCAGGCCCCCUGGAGGUCAAGGCCCCCUGGGAAUGUGCCCUGCAUGCCCUGUCGGUAAUUCAGCCAUGAUUACUACACGUUUAGAUGAGUAAAUAGACUAAUUAACCAAUCUAAAAAGGUUUAACUGAAUUGGGCUAAUUGAGUGACUGUCACACAUAAAGAAAAUAUGCACAUUUCCACACCCGUGUUUCCACCCCCUAAUAGACUUGAAACGGAUGAAACAAUCAGUGUGAGAUAGAAUAGUGCACAUAAAAAUACACUUUUGCGUUCCAGUUUUCAUGUGCCGGACUUUUAAACAAACAACUAUUGUUUCCAUUGCAUUUUCAACUCUACCAAACAGUUUUGUCACAAAAUGGAUGACUUAAACUACAAAUACCAACGACAGAUGCAGUGUGGGGCUAAUUAACAUAAUGAGAUUUAUUAUUAUUAUGGAUAAUAGCAAGAAUAUUUUUUAUUUUGUCAAACAGGAGUCGAGCAUCGAUCAUCACGUCACCAGAAUAAGACCCCAGAUAUUUAUUAGAAAGGGAGCAUCAAGAUCAUCUUUCACCACCCUGUGAAGUUCAUCAUCCUUUAUUUAAUAUCAAGCCUAAUAAACUGCAUGCUUUCCCGGGUCGUAGUGGGGAGGACCACACACCAUAUCAUCGCGUGACUCCAAAUGUACUUCAAUAGGAUGGUUAUUAUAUAAAUAUUUGAGCAUCAAAGUGAUUUCCACCCACCAUUUCUCACAAAAACACAUUUUACAGACACACAAAUAAAAAAACAUCCCACCAUGUCGAACGAAGAGAUGAUCUAUCGACAUUUAUACAAAUUGGACUGAAACUUCCUGUUUCCAUCACACCUGAUUCAUUAUAUUGUUUUUACAUGGUAAGACUUCACUUGCAUAACAACCUUGGAUGGAGGUUUACUGACACAUAACAAGAGAAGAAAGUGCUGAUGCACAACCAAGUUUAUAUUCUAAUUCUCAAACAGUAAUUUGAGACCCCAAACAAGAGUUUAAAAAAAUAAUAAUAAUAAUAACAAUAAUUAAACAAAUAAAUAUCCAAUUUGAAAUCAUUAUUGAGGCUCGGACCUCGGUGUUCUCAUACGUUGCUAUAGCUUUUGAUUGUGAAAAGGAAAGACACACAUUCAAAUCCGUAUGAAAGAAAUACCGGGGAAAAAAACUAUGUAUUAAAGUCCACAAAUUAACUCAAUAUGAAAAUUGCAGAGUGGAAUUGAAUAUUGACCAAUCAUAAGCGAUGACCAUUAUGGGAACGUGCAACCUGCAAGGCAAAUGUCCAUAUAUUUUAUAUAAUAUUAUCACAUACAUUUAUCUUAACCUUUGAAAAGCACAAGACCGGUAUGGAUCUCAGACCAUCUGGCAUGACAUGACUGGAAGUACCUGUUACAAAACAACGCAGAUUACCGUUACAUACGAGAGACUGUUUUAAUUGUAUCUUUGUUUUCUAAAGAACAAUAACUUUCUAUGUGUCCUAUAACUUGUUUUUAAAAUCCUCUGUAGGAUGUUUUUUGAAUGUGAGAGUGAGACGGACCAAAAUCAUACGCUGGUGAGAAGGGAUUAGCGCGAAACACUAAACGACGUGACACGGUCUAGAUUUACAGGCCGAAAUGAGAAGCAUCCCUCACGUGCCCGUCGCUGCAGAGAACAGGGUACAAUAAGAAGUAUUACUACAGAAGCAGCAUUUGAGCAGUGAUUGUCUAACAACUCCUAAUAACCCAGAUAUACUGUUUUACUGCAAUCAUGUUUACCACAUUUAGUGUCCAACUCCUCAGGAACAGCCGUGAAAAGCGACCAAAUGAUCUACUGAAACUACCGUGAUGAGAGUUGUGAACGAAGACUUUCCUUCCUUACACCAGUCAGUCAGUUAGUCAGUCAUUCUAGUCGAAGCAAGAGCCAUGUAUUUAGAGAGAUGAGGUUUCUGCAAUAUGAUGCAUUAACUUGACAAUACAACAUUCUAUAGCAGCCAUGUUAGAGCCCCAUUAACUUGACAAUACAACAUUCUAUAACAGCCAUGUUAGAACCCCAUUAACAUGACACUACAACAUUCUAUAGCAGCCAUGUUAGAGCCCCAUUAACAUGACACUACAACAUUCUAUAACAGCCAUGUUAGAGCCCCAUUAACAUGACACUACAACAUUCUAUAACAGCCAUGUUAGAGCCCCAUUAACAUGACACUACAACAUUCUAUAACAGCCAUGUUAGAGCUCCAUUAACAUGACACUACAACAUUCUAUAACAGCCAUGUUAGAGCCCCAUUAACAUGACACUACAACAUUCUAUAGCAGCCAUGUUAGAGCCCCAUUAACAUGACACUACAACAUUCUAUAGCAGCCAUGUUAGAGCCCCAUUAACAUGACACUACAACAUUCUAUAGCAGCCAUGUUAGAGCCCCAUUAACAUGACACUACAACAUUCUAUAGCAGCCAUGUUAGAGCCCCAUUAACGUGACACUACAACAUUCUAUACAAGCCAUGUUAGAGCCCCAUUAACAUGACACUACAACAUUCUAUAACAGCCAUGUUAGAGCCCCAU